CUUUUAGAAUGAAGGAAAUGAGAAGGUGUGGGAAAGAAGAAGACCUCAGUUGAGUUUGUUCUCCCAAGAAGCAAUGGAUGCUACUGACUUAAUGAGUUGGAAAAAUCAAGGAAAACAAAUGAGCAACAGAAAUGCUGAUGGAAAAAUCCUUAUGAAAUAUCUCUAGGAAAACGUGCCCUCAAAUUGAGAAAACAUGAAGUACCACAGACAACAGCUUAAAAUGGUGUUCGAUUUCAUUUAAAACUAUGAGGAGAGAAAUCCAGCUCUUUGGUCUACAUUCAGGAUGUGUUCACAGCUGCCCCAUUGCAAAGAAUCAGUGAAGUCCCCUUCGGAUGAACUCACACAAGAAUACACCAAGUGGGGCCCCCAUCUCAGAUAUUUACUGCCCACUGUUUUAUUUCAACUAAACCUUACUAUAAUCACAAUCUUGGCAAAAAAUAUCAUGAAGAAAUUCUGAGUUGUGAACUUUUUUUCCAGUAUAUAUUGUAACCAUUGGAUAAAAUGCAUUCAAUUUUCUUUCAAACAGAUAUUUAUAUAAGAUAUAGGUAGCAAUGUUAACAAGAUAGAUCAGUUUUUCCAAUAAAUC